rnacentral:ribozyme from 2 species
GGUCGGGGGCGGGGGGCACAGCAGAAGCAUUCACUUCGUGGCCCCUGUCAGAUUCUAGUGAAUCUGCGAAUUCUGCU